AGCCAAUCGUCAGGCGAGGAGUCCGAAGUCCCUCAACCAAUGGCAGCACAGGGAGGGGGAGGCUGGACUCAUAUACCCAAUCGUUGCCAAAAGAUGAGAAGCUACCCGCAAACCGAAUGCGACCAACGGGGACGAAGAAUAGGUUGACCCUAGGCAGCCAAUCCUGGCGUGGCAAAAAAGAAAAUGUCUUCUGUUUUGAUCGGAAUCAUUACUUGCCGGUGGUUUCCGUUUCUUUGGAAACCAGGUGACUCACUUUAAGGACCCCGAGCAAAGUGGCUGACGAACCAUUUGGUCCAGUGGCAAGAGAUAUACCUGAUCUACUGGAGAUGGUCCCUACCCAGUGGAAGGUUUUGAUCUUUUUAAGUAAAGUCUUUACCCGGUCUGUUUGACUAAGGUAACACUCAAUCAGCGAUUAAGAUUAGAUCAACAAAUAUGUAACAGCAAGUUCUGACUAGUAGUCUUUGAAAAAAAAUAGAUUGGAAUGUGUAUUGUUCAUUUUGUUAGAAAAUAUACUUCAACAUUUUCUGGACUCCAAGAAAAGACCUAUGCACUCAAACUAAUACAAGGUUGAAGAUUUUAAAAGAAAGCAGCAACUGUUGUUUCUUUAUGGGAAUAUAAAACUGGUUUAAUUAAAAAUAUGAAAAUUCUUGCAAUGCUAGUUUAAAUGCUUUCAUUUUGCCCUAGGAUUAUUAACCAAAAAUUAAA